GCUAGAUAUCCUUCCUUCUCUACAGGGUCAACUCCGAUCUGUGAAGACAUCGGUAGGCAGAUGCUAUGCUACAACAGGAGAAUCCCCAUCCCUGAGCUUGAGGCCAGGAUCGAUGCUGUGGACGCGGAGAUGGUUCGAGAAGUGUGCACCAAGUACAUUUAUGGCAAAAGCCCGGCCAUUGCUGCUCUCGGUCCUAUUGAGCGCUUACCAGAUUUUAACCAGAUUUGUAGUAACAUGCGCUGGACUCGUGACUGAUUUUUGUGAUGAAUUAUCCUACACAUACAUAUUUAUAAAACUGAGACCUAGAAGUUUUGAAAGACUGCUCAUCUUCAAGUGAAAAA
rnacentral:lncRNA from 1 species